rnacentral:ncRNA from 1 species
CUGGCCGAAUACUAGGGGCCCCGAAAAUGAAUGGCGCAUAUAGUACUACCGAUCUCAGACAUCAGUUCUAUUGAACUGAGAGUAGGGGGAUGUGGACAUUUUUGUGAAGGUGCAAUGUGAGUUGGACUGGAAGAAUGUCUAUUACAGAUCCUAAUUGAAGUAGCGAUUAUCCAGGCUUGUAUCCUGGGGGCUGAUGAGGAGUAGGGUUUCUGGACAACUUAAACAGAUCCAGAGUUAGUCGAUCCUAAUCUCAAUAAUGGGAGAAAGGGAGUACAGUUGAUAUUCUGUAACUGACAACAGUUCGCGGCAACGCAUACUAUUUUUCUCCGCCAAUCUUAUACCGUUGGUAGGGAUCUCUUUCCUACAUGACAGUACUAAUACCCAGGGAAACUGGUCAUCAGGCGAACUGCGGCGUUCUGCUGGCAAAACAUAGCUUCGGUUAUGUCAAUGGCUAUUGGAUUGGUCCAUGAAGCGAAAAAUAGUUUACUGUGUCACUCGUACCGAUAACCGCAUCAGGUCUUCUAGGUAAGUAGCCUAUGGCCAUUGAGGCAUGAUAGUUCAGGGAAUUCGGCCAAUUAGAGCUGUAACUUCGGGAUAAAGCUUGGCUCUGAUGAAAAUCAGAACCGAUUGUUACGCGGAGAGCCCAACUGUUUAAUAAAAACGUAGUGUCGCGCUGUGGUAGUAUAGCCAGUGAACGCGACAUGAAUCCUGCUCAGUGCUGUGUCUGUUAAUAUGGUUCAAGCCAACGAAGCACCGGUAAAUAGCUGGGGUAACUAUGACUCUUAUCAAAGUAGCGAAAUACCUCGUCACUUAAUUAGUGACCUGCAUGAACGGAGCUAUGAGGUUCUCACUGUCCCAAACUGUCUCUCAGCGAACCAACUGUAGUGGGAACGGUCACUAGAUAUCCAGCGGGGAAAGAAG